rnacentral:lncRNA from 1 species
ACAGGGUGAUCCUGCUGUUCAGUUCACAGGGGCCUGUGUGUGUGGCAACUCUGUCUGGACUCUGUUGACCCUUCUCACUGGUGGCCUGAGGACACAGCCAGCGUGGGAGGACUCUCGGGCCCUCUCAGGGGAGAAGACCAAGAAACUCCAGCUCCACUCCAGGCUGGCUUGCCCUAGAAUUCUUUUUAGCAGAGUAGUCAAGAAUCCCAUCCCAGCUUCAUCUGAUGGAGGUCUCUGAAGAGUACACUGGCUGCUGCAGGUGGCUACAUGGAGCUGUUUGUCUGGCCUGGAUUGCACAGCCUGUGACAAAGCCAGGGUGCUGCGUGAGAGUUGAGUGCUGAGGGAAGGGAGCAAGGAAAGGUUGGAGAAGGGGGAAAGCGCCUCCCCCAACUCUGAAGGGUGUUGGGGUAGGGGUGCGGUGGGCUGGAGGUUCAGAGUAGAAGCUCUGCGUGCUAUGAGGGGGCCAUUAUGGCAAAUCAUCAGGGGCACAGGGAGGCAGGAUCCACUUUCAGCGUUUUCCUCUAUGUCCUGCUUGUCUUGAGGCCUCCAGAACCCCAAGAGGUGCUGGUGCAGUUCUACGUGGGUCAGAGCUCACAGUCAGCCACCCAUCUUUUCCUUCCACUAAAUUCUCCACUGCCUUCCAUGGUCAAGCCACUGGAGAAAAGGACUAACUGGAGCUAAGGUUUCAAGUUUCUCAGGCCAGGUUGUGGCAGUGUAGGGGGACAUGCACUCAGACUAAUGGUGGGAGCAAUUGAUAAUGCAAUGGGAAUAGUCACUUGUAGGAAUGUGACUUGGUGCGGUCUGACCAAGUCACAGGAAGCUCAGCACUGGACAGAUCUGUCAAGUAGCCCAGGAGGACAGUGGGAAGGAUCAGUACCCCAUAUAUACCAAUCAUGUGGUUUGGGCUGCCUCCAAGGGAUGUCACAUUGAGCAAGAAGUUUUUUUUUAACUAUGACUGGUGACCAGAGCCUCAGCCACAGUGGGUCUUUGUAGGCCAAGGCAGGAAUCUAUGAUUUCUGACAACUGUUACAAGAGCACCCAACUUUAUUAAGAAACCCCCAGUUCUGGGCCAAAUGAACGGUAGGUAGACUUUCAAACACACACACAUUCAUGACCCCCUCUCAUAAUAGUCAUGAAGCCAGGCUGGCUUUGAAUUCCUAAUCAUAUCUCUAUGCCCUAAGUGCUGGGAUUGCAUGUAUAGAUCACCAUGAUUCCAAAACAAACAGCAAACUAGACUUUGCCAUGCAAAGGGCUUCCCUCAACAUAAGGUGACAGAGAAGUUACUGACAUCUUACUGAAGGGGAAAGCAGGAGACAGAUAAUGGCAGUGGUGUGGAGAAAAAGGGUAGAGACUGCAGGGCUAAAAGACUACUGCUUAAAAUGAAGAACUGGAGAGGCAGCAUGGCAGGGCUGUGUAUCAAGUAGAUCAAAGAGAUAGACUUGCUCCUACAUGCCUAAGUUGUUUCCUUGGAUUCUGAGACAUAGCCUUAGUUGCCCCUGCUGGGCUCUUAAGCAGAAUGUCAGGCAGGCUGGUCUUCUGAGGCUCCCACGUCCUCCCAUGUCCCAGUGACUGUGAUGGCUGCAUCCUGGAAACAUCUCUCCAGUAAAUCUUUUGUGACUAGCUGUCAGCCAUCACUUUGCUAAACCACCAAAUGCCACCAGCAGUGACACCACCAGGAGCCACAGGCUCUGCACCUAAGCUCCAGCACAGCUGAGAAUGGAAGAAGCUACAGAAGGUCUCCACCUCUGCCUGGCUUUUCACCACUGGGAACAUGUCCCUGUGUGGACUUGUUCCUAGCCCCUCUCUGGCCCAGCUAUGACAGGAUUACCUGUUCCUAAGAUCAUUUCAGGAAGAGAGCAGAGGCCAGAAUGUGGGGAAAUUGCCACAUGUCCAGUGAAAUCUCUGUAACAUUUUUAUCAACUGCAUUCAACUAGAAACAAAUGACACAAACCAUCUGGUUUGUUUAAUUAAUUGAGCAACGUAAACAGCUAAGACCGACCCCCAAACAUCAAGGUAAAUGAAAGGCCGUCAUUGUUCAGGAGCAAAGGUGUAAUCAAACUCUAAUUUUCUAUUCCAGUAGACAUCUUUGAAUUAGUUUCUAUUCAACUAAUUAUGAAGUUUUUUUAUUAGUGUUCUACUUGAUUAAUAAAGCACAAAACACAGAUUACCUAUAAUAUUAAUAUAUAUAAUAUCUCAGCCUCCACGGGGAGUACCUGGGUGGUUUCUGUGUAUGUUUAAAUGCUAAACAAGGGAAGCCAGGAGAAUGAGAAGAUGUAAAGGGAGGAGGGGAACACCAGCUAGUUUUUAAGAAUUUUAAAGAGAGCAAGGAGAGAUCUAUGGGAGGCUUUGGAGAGUGGAAAGAAAGGGGGGAGGGAAUGGUAUGUUAAAAUCCCAAACACCAAAGAAAUGAAUAAAAAGCAUUGAAUCUGAAAGACAAAAACGAAGCCACCUAGCACAGUACCUGGAUCCCUUUGUGCCAUCUGGAUAAAAUAUUUAUAGUGUCAACUUGUGCCUUGGGCCUCAGGAGAGAACCCCCUUAACUAUUAAGAGAUAUCUUGAAAACUUAUAUUCUAAAAGACUGGGAUCCCAAGAACAGAUAAAUUCAUAGACAAAGACAUAGUUAAGUCGCCAAAAUGAAAUCUAGAGAAUAGAAACAACUUAAUGGAUCCAUAACAAGCAACGUGGUUGAGGCAAUGAGGGAACAGCAGGGCCCUCAGAGAGAGCCUCAGAAGACAGGGUUUUACUGAACUCUACCAAACCUUCAAAGAACUAAUGCAUGGCGCUUAAGUUGCUCCAUAAAAAUAGAAAGAGAAAGAAUGCUAUCAAAUCCCCUCAAAGAAACCAGCCUCACCCUGGUAGCAAAAUGGGAUAAGGAUCCCCACCAAACAAAUAAGCGAAACUCAAGAGACCAGUUUCCCUGCGCAUACGCACAAAAAUUCUCAGUGAAACACUUGCCUACUGAAUUCAACAGCACAUGAAGAUGAUCACAUGCUAUCAGCAAGUUGACUUUUUCCAGGAAUACAGGAUGGUCCAACAGUUACAAGUCAAUAAUUUUAAUACAGUACAUAAACUUAACAAUAGAAAUUACAGGGUCUUCUCAAUGGAUGCAGAAGUGUUCUUUGACAACAUUGAACAUCCUGUCAUGAUAAAAAGCUCCCAAAAAACUAAGAAUAAAAGAUAUAUUAUCUAUCAUUUAUCAAUCUAUUAAUCAAUUACCUAUCAUCUAUUAUCUAUCAUCAUCUAUUAAUCAUCUAUUAAGUAUCAAUCAUCUAUCCAUCUAUUAUCUAUCUAUCUAUCAUCUGUAUAUCUGCCUAUCUAUCUUUCUAUCUAUCUAUCUAUCUAUCUAUCUAUCUAUCUAUCUAUCAUAUAUUAUCUAAUUUUCAACUUGACAGAAUCUAGAAUGAUCUGAGAGAUGGGUCUCUGCCUGUGGAGUUAGCUUUACUGUAUUAACAAAAUGGGCAUACCUGUCCACUGUGGGUAGUACCAUUCCCCUGGGUUGGGUUUUCCACUGCAUAAAACAGGGAAAGGGUCACUGGAUAGCAGCAUCAGUUCAUCUCUUUCUUCCUUCUGCUUGUGUAUAUAAUGUGAAUAAGCACUUUUAGUACCAGCUACCCUGACUUCUUUGCUAUGAUGGACCUUGAACCUUGAGUCAAAAGAAACCCUUUUUCCUGGAGUUGUUUUUCUCAGAACUCAACUCAGUAAAGGCAACAACAGUAAAGAAAACUAAAAAACCAACAGCCAGCAUUUUAUGAAGUAGGAAAAACUGAAAGCAUUUCUUUAAAAAUGAGAAACGCACUAAGAGUAUCUCUUUGUUCUUACUCAGUGCAGUACUUGAAGUCCUAGCUAGAGCAAUAAGACAAAGAGAAAUGAAAGGGAUACAAAUAGGAAAUAAAAAGUUAUAAUUGUAUCUACUUGCAGAUGACAUGGUCCCAUAGUUAAAGGAAUUCUGCCAGAAAACUCUUAGAUACGAUAAGCAUUUUCAGCAAAGGAGCAGAUUUCAAAAUUAAUAUACAAAUCCUAGUAACUUUCCUAUAUAGAAAUAAUAAAUUUGCCAAGAAAGAACUCAGGAAAAACUUCAAAUUCACAUUUCUCUAAAGAAUCCAAAACAUUCUUAGGAAUAAACCUAACUAAAGACAUGAAAUACUUGUAUAAUGGAAACUUUAAAACAUUUAAGAAAAAAAAAUGAAAAUUAGAAGAGGGAAAGGCAUCCCUUGCUCUUGAGGAGCAGAAUAUAUACUAUGAUAAUGGGUAAUUACUAAAAGCAACCUAUGCAAUGAGAGACCCAUAGAACUACAGCAUCCUCUUCAGAACUAAAAAGAAAAAGAAAACAACAACAACAACAACAACAACCCACAGUUCAGAUGAAAGCACAAAACUCCCACGAUAGUCAAAGCAGAACAAACUGAUGGAAGUAUCUCAAUGCCUGCCUUAAUGAUCCAGGACUAGUGAGAUACCUCAGCAGUCAGAAACGCUUGCUGCUCCUCCAGAGGACCAGAGCUCAGUUCUCAGCACCCCGUAAAGUGCUUCACACAUGCCGAUAACUCCAGGGGAUCCAAUGCCCUUUUGCCCUUUGAGAGUUCCAGCAAGCACAUGCAUGCAUGCGACACACACACACACAAAAUCUUAAAAAAGAAAAUGUUCUGCAGAGUUAUGGCAACAAAGGGAAUAUGGUGUGGACACAAAAACAGACAUGUAGACCACCGGAAAGGAUAGGGGAACCAGAGAUAAACUUACCAUCUGUAGACAAUUUCUGACAAAGCUGUCACAUAUUUACUGAAACCCAGUCUCUUUUAAAACUGCCGCCAGUUUCCACUGGGGAGAAACUAGACCCAUAGCUCCUACCCUGCAGAAAAUGGAUUAAAACAGACCAAUGACCUUGAUACAAGCCUUAAGCUUUGAAACUUCCAGGAGAAAACAGUUUAAGAUACAAGCACAGGCAAAGACUGUCUUUUGAAUAAGACUCCAGUGGCACAGGAAAGAAUUCCAAAUAUCUUUAAAAAUCAGAUUGUGUGAAUCUAAAAGUUUUCUGUACAGUGAAGGAAAGAAACUGUAGGCAAAGUGAAGGGACAGCCCACAGAAAGGGAGACCUUUGCCAACUGUAUAACUGACAGGGGAUUAAUAGCUAGAACCUAUAAUGGCCUAAAAAAAUUAAA